AGGAUUGUGGGUACAGCGUGGGGCGUAAAGGGGUUACCGGAGGGAACCGUGAGGGUGGAGGCUCCCGUCCCGGUUCGUGGGCGCAGACGUCUCCGUAGUUGGCAUCCCGGACCCGGUCACGUGGUGGAUCCGGUGCACAGUGAAAGGGAAGUGAAGCAGACGAUGGAUUGCGUGGAGACGAGGCUCGGAGAGAAAGCAGCUCGCCGUCACAAUGGACGCCAUUGUGUUCACGUCUUUGAUAAAUAUGGUUCCACCGAGAGCCGAAGAGCCUCGACGGAGGAGCGGCGUUCGGCUGGAAUGAAGAAACGGGGCAUCAGGAUCACGUGAGACCUCCAGAGCUUUACAGAUGAACCUAUCCCACGACGUGAAGGUCGUCCUCAGACCCUCCGAUGCUUUUUGUGAAAGUGCAUUACGGAAAACCUCGACACACACCUCGCCGGCCGGAUGCUUCACGGACGCCAGAUUCCAGGCUGCUUCGAACGUCUCUUCAGGAACAUUGUCACACACAUUACUGAAAAUCUCUGCAAUCUGUGAAGGGAUAGAUGACAACGUUAAUAAAAGAAAAACUAAACUAUUCAA